rnacentral:rRNA from 1 species
AACGAACGCUGGCGGCAUGCCUAACACAUGCAAGUCGAACGAGACCUUCGGGUCUAGUGGCGCACGGGUGCGUAACGCGUGGGAAUCUGCCCUUCGGUUGGGAAUAACUGAGAGAAAUUUCAGCUAAUACCUUAUAAUGUCUUCGGACCAAAGAUUUAUCGCCGAGGGAUGAGCCCGCGUAGGAUUAGGUAGUUGGUGGGGUAAUGGCCUACCAAGCCGACGAGCCUUAGCUGGUCUGAGAGGAUGAUCAGCCACACUGGGACUGAGACACGGCCCAGGCUCAUACGGGAGGCAGCGGUGGGGAAUAUUGGGCAAUGGGCGAAAGACUGAUCCAGCAAUGCCGCGUGAGUGAUGAAGGCCUUAGGGUUGUAAAGCUCUUUUACCAGGGAUGAUAAUGACAGUACCGGGAGAAUAAGCUCCGUCUAACUCCGUGCCAGCCGCCGCAGUAA